GACGGGGGGGGCAAGCGUUGUUCGGAAUUACUGGGCGUAAAGGGUUCGUAGGCGGCCAACUAAGUCAGACGUGAAAUCCCUCAGCUUAACUGGGGAACUGCGUCUGAGACUGGAUGGCUUGAGUGCAGGAGAGGAACGCGGAAUUCCAGGUGUAGCGGUGAAAUGCGUAGAUAUCUGGAGGAACACCGGUGGCGAAGGCGGUGCUCUGGGCCGGAACUGACGCUGAGGAGCGAAAGCGUGGGGAGCAAACAGG
rnacentral:rRNA from 1 species